CCUGCCUUUCAGUUGGGGAUAACCGAGGGAAACCUUGGCUAAUACCGGAUACGUGCUUCGAAGGCAUCUUCGGAGCAUAAAAGGGGCCUUUAAAGCCUCGCUGAUUGAUGGACCUGCGGCGCAUUAGUUAGUUGGUGAGAUAACAGCCCACCAAGACAAGGAUGCGUAGCCGACCUGAGAGGGUGAUCGGCCACACUGGAACUGAGACACGGUCCAGACUCCUACGGGAGGCAGCAGUAGGGAGUUUUCGGCAAUGGGGGAAACCCUGACCGAGCAACGCCGCGUGAGUGAUGAAGGUCUUCGGAUUGUAAAGCUCUGUUAUAAGGGAAGAACGGCAGCUAGAGGAAAUGCUAGCUGUUUGACGGUACUUUAUGAGAAAGCCACGGCUAACUACGUGCCAGCAGCCGCGGUAAUACGUAGGUGGCAAGCGUUAUCCGGAAUUAUUGGGCGUAAAGAGUGAGCAGGCGGCAGUUUAAGUUUGGAGUCAAAGCGAGGGGCUCAACCCCUUAACGCUCUGAAAACUGAACAGCUAGAGUGCGAGAGAGGUAAGUGGAAUUCCAUGUGUAGCGGUGAAAUGCGUAAAUAUAUGGAGGAACACCAGUGGCGAAGGCGACUUACUAGCUCGAUACUGACGCUCAGUCACGAAAGCGUGGGUGAGCAAUAGGAUUAGAUACCCUAGUAGUCCACGCUGUAAACGAUGAGAACGU
rnacentral:rRNA from 1 species